ACGAAUGCUAGAUGCCUGUGCUCACCCUGA
rnacentral:piRNA from 1 species